GCUGAGUGGUGGCGCGUGCCUGCAGCCCCAGCUACUCGGGAGGCUGGGGUGGGAGGAUCGCUUGAACCCAGGAGCUCUGGGCUGUACUGCGCUAUGCCGAUCGGGUGUCCGCACUAAGUUUGGCAUCAAUAUGGUGACCUCCUGGGAGCAGGGGACCACCAGGUUGCCCAAGAAGGGGUGAACCGGCCCAGGUCGGAAAUGGAGCAGGUCAGAACUCCCGUGCUGAUCAGUAGUGGGAUCACGCCUGUGAAUAGCCACUGCACUCCAGCCUGGGAAAUGUAGCAAGACCCCCUCUCU
rnacentral:SRP_RNA from 1 species